GACGAACGCUGGCGGCGUGCUUAACACAUGCAAGUCGAACGGAAAGGCCCCUUUGGGGGUACUCGAGUGGCGAACGGGUGAGUAACGCGUGAGUAACCUGCCCUUGACUUCGGGAUAACUUCAGUAAACUGGGGCUAAUACCGGAUAGGAAUCCUUGCUGCAUGGUGGGGGUUGGAAAGCUUCGGCGGUUUUGGAUGGACUCGCGGCUGAUCAGCUUGUUGGUGGGGUAGUGGCUUACCAAGGCUUUGACGGGUAGCCGGCCUGAGAGGGCGACCGGCCACAGUGGGACUGGGAUACGGCCCAGACUCCGACGGGAGGCAGCAGUGGGGAAGAUUGCAAAAUGGGCGGAAGCCUGAUGCAGCAACGCCGCGGGCGGGAUGACGGCCUUCGGGUUGUAAACCGCUUUCAGCAGGGGCGAAGCUUGUGGUGACGGUACCUGCAGAAGAAGCACCGGCUAACUACGUG
rnacentral:rRNA from 1 species